AAGCACAAAGGUUUGAUCCUAGCUUUACUGUUAAUUUUUAUUAGACCUACACAUACAAGUUUCCGCAACCCAGUGAGUAUGUCCUUUUUACUUCCCUAGAGUAUAAAGGAGCUGGUAUCAGGCACACUUAAACAAGCAGCCCAUGACACCUUGUUCAACCACACCCCCACGGGUUACAGCAGUGACUAACAUUGAGCUAUAAACGAAAGUUUGACUAAAUCAUAAUAAAUAAGGGUUGGUAAAUCUUGUGCCAGCCACCGCGGUCAUACGAUUAACCCAAAUUAACAGAAAAACGGCGUAAAAGGUAUGUAAGCAUAUAACCUAACAAAUAAAGUUAAAGCUCAACUACGCUGUAAUACGCCCUAGUUGAUAUUAAAAUAUGCAACUUACAUGACUUUACCAAUGCUGAAGACACUAAAGCUAAGGUACAAACUGGGAUUAGAGACCCCACUAUGCUUAGCCGUAAACCUAGGUAAUUAAACAACAAAAUUACUCGCCAGAGAACUACUAGCUACUGCUUAAAACUCAAAGGACUUGGCAGUGCCCUAGACCCUCCUAGAGGAGCCUGUUCUAUAAUCGAUAAACCCCGAUACACCUCACCCCUUCUCGCUCAACAGUUUAUAU
rnacentral:ncRNA from 1 species